GCCUUUCUCGGCUCUUCUCUCCCUCUUUAAAUUUUAUAAUAAUAAUAGAACCCUACCCCAUUUUAAGUGUCUUAACCCUUGAUCACUGAUACCCUGUCCGACUGACGUAGGGCCCCGUAACGUAUGUCAAGGCUCUGCCUAAAUUCGUUGGGGUUCUGUCUCGUGACGUAGGGAUAAAGUAGAAUUGGGUUACUAUACUUAAUGUGGGUACACUAUAUAUUUUAUUAAAUAAUCCAGGAGUUGUACCCAAAAUAUAACAAACCUCCCGAAUAUUUUUCUGAUACCCUACACUUCCUAAAAUACACCCUGUAUGUGAAAACCGAGCCCGAAAUACAAAAUAGCAUUGAAAAUAAAUACAAAACAAGAAAUAAUAAGUUGAGGCGGGCCGCGUAGGACCUCACCUCAACUUAACGCGGGCCGUGUGAGGGUGUAACUUAACUCCGCUGAAUUCUUUAGUUCACGCGGGCCGCGUAUGAUCCCGUUUAAGUUCAUGCGGGCCGCGCGGACUCAUGAAACGCGGAUAUAUCCAGAGGUUGACACGUGUCAUGAUCGUGGCGGUCUAGUGAACGACUCAGCUAAGCUACCCUGUUGACCAGGGUUGACGCGGGCCGCGUAGGCCCUGCCCUAAUAUUACGCGGGCCGCGAGAGAACCAGAUCCAGCCCCUAUAAAUAGAAGCAAUCGGCUGUUCAUUCAGUUCGUUCAGAAUUUAUUUCUUUCUCUCAAUUCUAAAGUGUAGGCAUUAUACGCGGGUAUAAUACCCCCCUAAUUAGCGAAGCUCUGCCUCGUUGUAAGUAUCAUAACCCCUGGAUACGUAUUAGGUACUCUGCCCGAUUGAUCUAGGGUUCCGUAACGGCUGUCGUGGUUCUGCCCGACGUAGUCGUUGGAAUGCCGUCUCGGGGAGGGUAUUACUAAUGUUAAAAUGGGUUAUUAUACUAACGCGUGUGCAUUGUUUAUUUACUUAGACUAUAACCAGGGAAUCACAAAGGAAAGCCCUAUAAUAGCAAGGUGAGUAAUCUCCUUUUUCUUAACUGUUUUUACAAAACCUUAAAUACCUUUCCAUGCAAAUGACAGUUAUUGAGUAUUUGUAAAGAAUACAAUUAUAGUGGGUAUGUUGGGGUUUUGUAUACAAAAUUGGUUACUGGCGUGGUAACAUCCCAUAAGUUGAGUAUGACCGUACCACUGAUGUUAAUUGUGAUGUCUUGGAUACAAAUGUAACUUAGUGUGAAGCCAAUAAAAGCCAGCUGGAGAGCACUGAAGGCUUGGAAAAGUGGCUAUAAAGUUACCUAAAAUAAAAUAGAUGUUUUUAUUAAUAAAAAUAGGAUUUAUUCCUAUGAAAGUGUGUAUACUGAAAACUUGGGUUUUACCCACGUGUUUAAUAUUAUGAAAAUAUGGUGGUUUUACU
rnacentral:lncRNA from 1 species